GCCUGUGUAGCACAAUUGGUUAGUGCGUUCGACCUGUAAUCGGAAUGUUGGCUGUUCAAAUCCGCUCGUAAGCA